GGCUGGGGAAGAUUCAUUGGGAAGACCAGGUCUUGGCUAUACAAUCAUUCGCCCUGGUCCUCUGCAGGAGGAACCUGGUGGGCAGUGUGCUCUCAUAUUUGAUCAAGGAAACAGGAUUACUCAGGGCAUUAGCUGUGCCGAUGUGGCUGAUAUAUGUGUGAAGGCCUUGCACGAUUCAACUGGGCAAGAAAUAAGAGCUUUGAU